rnacentral:rRNA from 1 species
ACAUGCCUACAACAUAGCUUUAAUGCACCAUAUCCCAUCAGAGCUCCGCAGUUAAGUGUGUUCAUGCUAGAGAAGUAUUGGGAUGGGUGACCGCUUAGGAAUUCCUAGUGUUCUACAUGCC